GUCCCGCUCCCUGCGCCGCGCACCUGAGGCAGUCGUUGUCUCUCACGACGCGCGCGCUCUCGGCGGGGGGCAAGAGCCCCCCCUCCAGGUAGAGGCCUAGGAAGGCCCCAGAACUGAAGCCGAAGCGCUGGCGGAUGAGACUAAUGAGAUCUGUGACGACUCGGCAUCUGUUCAAGUCGACCAGAAGCCAGAAGGCCGUACAGUGCGGGGUAGCUGGCGGCGGGUAAUCAAAUUGAAGCCGUAGCCUAACCGUCUCGGAAGCUGCCAUCUUGCUCGGUGCUCAACGGAAGCCGAGAGAUACCACGGGGCCACCGAGAGGCGUGCUCGGGCGGCUCGCCCCCGCCGGAGCCUUUGGCGUGUGCCACCUAGUGGUGAAACCUGGCUACUACAGGCUGCGUCUAGGCGAGAACUCGGAGCGUGGUUGAUUUCAUUCAAUUUUGUUCACGGCAGGGCUGAGGAAGGGAAUAAGUGAAAUGCCUUUAUUACAUUUCUACUGGGCGCUAUGUAGGGUCUCCUAAUUAAGGCAACUCUCUGGAUAAAUAACAUUUCUCCUCAGCAGUAGUCUUCUAAGAUAUUUGCUCAUCGACGUGAAAGAUUUUUAUAAAACAAUCCUAACACAUUUCGCUGACAAAAUUUUUCAUCAUGAUGAGUUGAAAAAGAUUUCACCUGGAUCUUGUUAUUGGGCCAUGAGAAAUAGCAGCCCGACCCUCACUCUGGUCUGGGAACAAAAUUUGGCCAGCCAGCCAGGAGAGACUGGGAUGGUGCUGUGUUCAGCGGCUAGCAGCUUGCAACGAGACAGUCUUCAGGAGGAUCCCAGCAGCUGCUGAUGAGAUUUCCCAAGGACCCUCUUGAAGGCUGUUUCAUGCACAAAAUUGCACAUCUCUUUCACUACUGGGGAAGAAUGGAGAUCAGGAGUGGAUGCACUCAAAGGGUCACAAUUGGAAAAACUGAUCAUUUUACCAAGGCUUUGACUGGAAUGGUGUGCUUUCCUUUAAGAAAUCAAACUUGACUUAUGGAGCCAACGGAACCCCAAGUUGUCUUGGAACCUCAAGAGGAGAGAAAUUCACCCAACACAUAGUUGGAAAUCACUGGAACUUAAGCUGUGCUUACUUAAAGCCCUGUGAACUAAACAACUUAAAUUUCAGAAGAAAACAGCAGCAACCUAUUUAUAUGUUGCUGUUGCAUACUAUUAUGCUGUUGCAAACUAUUUACAUGUGUUGCUGUUGCAUACUAGUAUGUUUCAACAGGUGCUGCCUCUAAGCCCCGAAGCAGAGAGUGCUACCAAGAACAAAUCGACCUCUUCCACUCCAGUGCUGUGUUCGGUGCCCCAUAACGACGACCCUCUCUCAGCAGGAAGUAGCCAGAAAGGUUAUGAUGUCCCAUCUCCCUACAAUCCUCGUGAUAAAUAAAUAUACAAGCAUGAUAGAUAUCAUGUGCAAAUUGACAGUGGAGAUUGUGGCAGGCGGAUCUCACUAAAGCAGGCUUCUGUAACAACUGUUUCAGUAUUGACUGAGUGGUUAAGUUAAAUAUUAAAAGGCAGUGGCCAUUAUACAAAGGCUGGGAUGGAACAAAAGCCCACCAAGAGUUUUGCGUAGGCCUUUCCUGGGCCUUAAAGCAUGACAGAAUAAUGAAGGAAUUCUUCACAGGACCCAUUUAGGAUUAAACAAGUUUUAUCAUGAGUCUGAAGAAGCUUUCCAGGCCUCCACAAACAAGUUUAUUGGAGGUCUGAAGGAACUCCCUAAACCUCCAUGAUUUAGCAGGAGACAAGAUAAGGGUAACCACCCCAGCACCUGGACCCAUUUAGAUUAAGUAAAUUUACUGAUGCUCCGGAGGAAGAUCUUCAGGACUCAGACCUUAAUUAUAGAUUAAAAGUAGUUAAUCACUUAUGUCUUUAGAUGAAUGCACACUUACACAUAGACAUAUAGCUUAAAAGGUAUAUAAGCUCUGGAAAAUGUUGUAAUUUGGAGUUGGUCUGGCAAUAACUUCCAGGCCUUCCCCCUGUAACUGGUUACAGAAAUAAAAACUCUCUCCCCAAUUCAUCUGCAUCUCAUUAUUGGGGCACAAGAAAUAGCAGCCCAACCCUCAGUUUUGUCCGGGAACACUAGAAUUACCAGCGUGAGCCACAGUAGCUUGCCUGUAAAUGCUGUUUAUCGAGUUGAGGAAGGUCCCCUCAAUUCCCAUUUUCUGAAUUUUUUAAAUAAUAAAUUUAAAAACUGUGUGUUAAACUUGUGAUGUUAAAUUUUGUCAAGUAUUUUUUCUGCAUUGAUUUAUAUGAUUAUAUGAUUUUUCUUCUUUUUCCUUUUAAUGUGGUUGAUUGUUUUGAUUGUUUUUCAAAUAAUGAACCAUCUAUGUUUCCUUACAAUAAAUUCUAUUUGGUUAUGGUGAAU